GAAGCCCUGAUUCCUUGGAGAAAGGCUUGCAGCCCCUCUCCUUCCUGGAUUGCACACCUCCAGCCCUGGCAGCCUGUCCCCUGGUUGGCACCCAGCAGCAGGCCACAGAUGGCUUCUGGCUGUCCCAUGGCGUCGCAUCAGGGCAUGCAGCGGAUAGUGACUCACACUGGCACCUCUUCUGCUUGGAAAAUGCCCUACACAUCCAUCAUCUUUGGUUUUUCUGCUAGAACGAUGGCAUGAGGAGCCGGCUCAGGUGUCUCUCCCUCCAGGAAGUGGGGCUUGUGCCCUUUGGAUACCUGCACUCCCCAUCACCGCACUCCCCAUCGUGGCACUUCCCUUGUUGCAGUUUUAUGGAGUGUGCGUCUGGCUCUCCAACUAGACUUGAACCGCUUGAGUGCAUAACUCGGGACUUGACCAUUUGCGUCUCCCUACGGCCAGCUCAGCCUCCGCACACAGGGACCUGCAGAGAGUGGAUGUAGCCACUGCCCCAGCGUCCCUGGGCUCUGAAGAGAAGCCAUUGCCCUUCAAGAGCCACCCUCAUUUCCUGGGCACUGGUUGG
rnacentral:lncRNA from 1 species